rnacentral:rRNA from 1 species
UACGUAGGGUGCGAGCGUUGUCCGGAAUUAUUGGGCGUAAAGGGCUCGUAGGCGGUUUGUCGCGUCGGGAGUGAAAACCCGAGGCUUAACCUCGUGGCUUGCGGUGGAUACGGGCAGACUAGAGUGCGGUAGGGGAGACUGGAAUUCCUGGUGUAGCGGUGAAAUGCGCAGAUAUCAGGAGGAACACCGGUGGCGAAGGCGGGUCUCUGGGCCGUAACUGACGCUGAGGAGCGAAAGCAUGGGGAGCGAACAGG